GAGGAGAGGAAUCGAGGAGAAGGAAGCGAGGAAAGAGAAUUAAGAAGUAAACAUGAAAAAGGUUCAGGACUCGAGGAAAGGAACCAAGGAGAAGGAAGCGAGGAAAGAGAAAUGAGACGCGGCCCUGAUGUUACGACACCGUGGUUCAAAGUGUGACCCUCCCACCGCGCUGUGCCAAGAUCCUUUCGUUCAGUGUAUGCGGAUCAUGAGCCAGGGGAAGUGCCCGGUCCGCUGCAUGCCGAAGAUACUGAUGAAGAAGCCGAGGCCCGUGGUGACGAACAGGAUGGCGGUCGCUACGUUGUUCAGGUGAUCCAUCCUUUUCUGCAGAGUGGAGUUGUUCAGAUCGCGCCGACCUGCCGCAAAUACAAACUCUGCUAAAUCACAAUCAGUGUCGGGGAGGAACAGAUUACAUGUACUUACUGGAGUUAUGUAAUCAGAGUACAAUUUAUGAGUAAUUGUAUUCGGUUACAGUUACUGUUUCAGUGAGUGGUAAUUGGAUUACAGUUACUUUGUUGAAAUAAAUGGAUUA